UACAGAGGGGGCAAGCGUUGUUCGGAAUUACUGGGCGUAAAGGGCGCGUAGGCGGCCUUCUAAGUCGAACGUGAAAUCCCCGGGCUCAACCCGGGAACUGCGUCCGAUACUGGAAGGCUUGAAUCCGGGAGAGGGAUGCGGAAUUCCAGGUGUAGCGGUGAAAUGCGUAGAUAUCAGGAGGAAUACCGGUGGCGAAAGCGACUCUCUGGACGGCAACUGACGCUGAGGCACGAAAGCGUGGGGAGCAAACAGG
rnacentral:rRNA from 1 species